CAUGGACUAUCCUCAGGAAAAUGAGAUCCAGGAAGAGUGACGCCCUCCUCGAACUGAAAGAUACUCAGGCUGAUGGAGUCAGGGAUGAAGUGGUUUAUCAACAGCACAGGAUGUCUGCAGGGAACAGAACUUAUUCAGACAUGGCCCAGAUUGUCUGCCCGUGGGGACUGAGGGACCUCUGAGGGUUACAUCAGGAAGGAAGGAGAGGCUGUUUCUACAGGUGCCACAGAAAAAUCGAUGCUGAGCCUCGGAUUAUUGGAUCCCAUAGAACCGUGGAGACUUGGCAGUGAAAUUCUUCCAAAGCAUUCCAUCUGCGCAGGCAGAGGUGUUCCUGGUUUGGAAAGUAUAAAUCCCGUGGGAAGUCAACUGGAGGACAUUUUACGCGUCACUCAUCCUAUUAUGAGCCUGCUGCUCCUCCGUCUCUUGACAAGGCCACCAACUAGAAGGGCACAGAAUUAUUCAUAAAACAGCUGAAUGUGAACGUCUUUGGAUUCCCAUUUAAUGAGGUAAGAUUUUAUCAUGUGCUAUGAAAGUGCAUUGAUAUCUUCCCUGUCCAUCAUGCCUCAUGUGUGUUGUCUGAACU
rnacentral:lncRNA from 1 species